GACGAACCGUGCGAACGUUGUUCGGAAUCACUGGGCUUAAAGGGCGCGUAGGCGGCCACAAAAGUCAGGGGUGAAAUCUUUCGGCUCAACCGGAAAAGUGCCUCUGAUACUGUGUGGCUCGAGGGAGGUAGGGGCGGACGGAACUUCCGGUGGAGCGGUGAAAUGCGUUGAUAUCGGAAGGAACGCCGGUGGCGAAAGCGGUCCGCUGGCCCUCUUCUGACGCUGAGGCGCGAAAGCCAGGGGAGCAAACGGGAUUAGAUACCCCGGUAGUCCUGGCCCUAAACGAUGGGUACUAGGCUGUGGGCUUGACAUGGGCUCACAGCCGAAGCCAAAGUGUUAAGUACCCCGCCUGGGGAGUAUGGUCGCAAGGCUGAA
rnacentral:rRNA from 1 species